AAAAGCCGAUUCCGGUUCCGUUUUUUGCGCCGGUACUAGUGUCGCCAUCUGUCGUCGGCGGGAAAUUUUUUCUGAGGUUUCGUUUUCGCUUUCGGAAGGAAUAAUUUACGUCCGUUCGGUCUCUCGAGAAAUCGCCAUGGCCAGAGGUGACCCAUAUAUCAGAAUUAUAAAUCAACCAACAAAUAGAAUGAGAUUUCGAUACGGAAGUGAAAAAGGAUCUCAUGGAGCUUUAACAGGAAAAGAUUCGUCUCACAAAAGAAAGACUUUUCCAACAGUUCAAGUAUAGUGCUUUUAUUUAAUUGUUAUAUUUAUUGAACUAAUUUAAAAUUAUUGUAUUAAAAUAUUGUAGA
rnacentral:misc_RNA from 1 species